AGACGUAAUUUCAGGUACCAUGGACUUGUGAGGGAGACACUUUUAAUUAAAAGAGGAAGUGGUCCUUUCCAGAGUUGCCUAAAUCAUACCACAAGCAACCUGUCAGGUCCCGUGCAGGCAGUCUAGGGAUUGCAGUAAUCCAAUCCCUAGAUUGGCUGCGUUCUUGAUAAACACUCAUGUAGAGAAAUGGUCAGAAGGAACGACACCACAGAAGAAAUUAGAAUGUUUAAAUGAACCAGGAAAAACAUCUGUAGAAUCUAAAGUACCUACCCAGAUGGAAAAAUCUACAGACACAGACGAGGACAAUGUAACCAGAACAGAAUAUAGUGACAAAACCACCCAGUUUCCAUCAGUUUAUGCUGAGCCAGGCACUGAGCAAACGGAAGCAGUUGGUGAUCUUUCUUCCAAACCAGCCACC
rnacentral:sRNA from 1 species